AUUGAACGCUAGCGGCAUGCUUUACACAUGCAAGUCGAACGGAGUGGCGGACGGGUGAGUAAUAUCUAGGAACCUGCCCAGUAGCGGGGGAUAACUACUCGAAACAGUGGCUAAUACCGCAUACUAUUGGAGCGGCCCAUAUCGGAUUAGCUAGUUGGUGGGGUAAAGGCUCACCAAGGCAACGAUCCGUAGCUGGUUGGAGAGGACGACCAGCCACACUGGGACUGAGACACGGCCCAGACUCCUACGGGAGGCAGCAGUGGGGAAUGUUGGACAAUGGGGGAAAGCCGGAUCCAGCCAUCCCGCGUGUAUGAUGAAGGCCUUCGGGUUGUAAAGUACUUUUGGCAGAGAAGCGGUACCUGCAGAAUAAGCACCGGCUAACUACGUGCCAGCAGCCGCGGUAAUAC
rnacentral:rRNA from 1 species